rnacentral:rRNA from 1 species
GUAAGCUACUAAGAGCGAAUGGUGGAUGCCUUGGUUGGUAGAGGCGAUGAAAGACGUGCUAGACUGCGAUAAGUCUCGGGGAGUUGUCAAGGAGCUUUGAUCCGGGAAUUUCUGAAUGGGGCAACCCAGUAUAUAGUGAUAUAUACUACCUAUAUGGAGCAAACGUGGGGAAUUGAAACAUCUUAGUACCCACAGGAAAAGAAAUCAAAUGAGAUUACGAAAGUAGCGGCGAGCGAAAUCGUAAAAGGGCAAACCACUAGUUUACUAGUGGGGUUGUAGGACUGUAACAUAGACUAAAAAGAGUUAAUAGAAUAAUCUGGAAAGUUUAAGCAUAGAGGGUGAUACUCCCGUAUAUGAAAACUCUUUUUUACUUAACAGUAUCCUGAGUAGGGCGAGGCACGUGAAACCUUGUCUGAAUCUGGGAAGACCACUUUCCAACCCUAAAUACUACUACCAAACCGAUAGUGAACAAGUACCGUGAGGGAAAGGUGAAAAGAACGGGGGUGACCCGAGUGAAAUAGAACCUGAAACCAUUUGCUUACAAUCAUUCAGAGCACGAUUCUUUAUGACGUGUGAUGGACUGCCUUUUGCAUAAUGAGCCUGCGAGUUGUGAUAUCUGGCAAGGUUAAGGAAAUCCGGAGCCGUAGCGAAAGCAAGUCUUAAUAGGGCGUUUAGUCAGAUAUUGCAGACCCGAAACGAAGUGAUCUAUCCAUGAGCAGGUUGAAACCGGUGUAAGAGCCGGCGGAGGACCGAACCCGCUGACGUUGAAAAGUCUUGGGAUGACUUGUGGAUAGGGGUGAAAGGCCAAUCAAACUUCGUGAUAGCUGGUUCUCUCCGAAAUAUAUUUAGGUAUAGCGUUAUGUAGUAAUUAGAGGGGGUAGAGCACUGAAUGGGCUAGGGCAUACACCAAUGUACCAAACCCUAUCAAACUCCGAAUACCUUUAGUGUAAUCAUAGCAGUCAGGCGGCGAGUGAUAAAAUCCGUCGUCAAGAGGGGAACAACCCAGACUACCGACUAAGGUCCCAAAAUCUUAUUUAAGUGGAAAACGAUGUGAAGUUACUUAAACAACCAGGAGGUUGGCUUAGAAGCAGCCAUCCUUUAAAGAUAGCGUAAUAGCUCACUGGUCUAGUGAUUUUGCGCGGAAAAUAUAACGGGGCUAAAAUAAGUACCGAAGUCGUAGACUUAGUUUUACUAAGUGGUAGGAGAGCGUUGUAUUUAGCGUUGAAGAUGUACCGGUAAGGAGCGUUGGAGCAAAUACAAGUGAGCAUGCAGGCAUGAGUAGCGUUAAAUCAGGUGAGAAUCCUGAUCGCCGAAAACCCAAGGUUUCCUACGCGAUGCUCGUCAUCGUAGGGUUAGUCGGGUCCUAAGCAAAGUCCGAAAGGGGUAUGCGAUGGAAAAUUGGUUAAUAUUCCAAUACCAAUUAUUAUGUGCGAUGGAAGGACGCUUAAAGUUAGUGGAGCUAACUGAUGGAAUAGUUAGUCUAAGGUCGUAGGUUGAGUUAUAGGCAAAUCCGUAACUCUUUAUCCGAAAGCUUAAAGGCUUACAAAGCUCUUCGGAGUAGCGUAAGAAUCCAUGAUACUAUAGAGCCAAGAAAAGUUUCUAAGUUUAGUAAUAAUUGCCCGUACCGUAAACCGACACAGGUGGGUGGGAUGAGUAUUCUAAGGCGCGUGGAAGAACUCUCUUUAAGGAACUCUGCAAAAUAGCACCGUAUCUUCGGUAUAAGGUGUGCCUACCAGGGUGCAAGCCCUAGAGGUUACAACAAAGAGUCCCUCCCGACUGUUUACCAAAAACACAGCACUCUGCUAACACGUAAGUGGAUGUAUAGGGUGUGACGCCUGCCCGGUGCUCGAAGGUUAAUUGAUGGAGUUAGCAUUAGCAAAGCUCUUGAUCGAAGCCCGAGUAAACGGCGGCCGUAACUAUAACGGUCCUAAGGUAGCGAAAUUCCUUGUCGGUUAAAUACCGACCUGCAUGAAUGGCGUAACGAGAUGGGAGCUGUCUCAAAGAGGGAUCCAGUGAAAUUGUAGUGGAGGUGAAAAUUCCUCCUACCCGCGGCAAGACGGAAAGACCCCGUGGACCUUUACUAUAGCUUGACACUGCUACUUGGAUAAAGAUGUGCAGGAUAGGUGGGAGAUUAUGAUUUAUAGAUGCUAGUCUAUAAGGAGUCAUCCUUGAGAUACCACUCUUCUUUAUUCGGGUAGCUAACUAGCCUAAGUUAUCCUUAGGUAGGACAAUGUCUGGUGGGUAGUUUGACUGGGGCGGUCGCCUCCCAAAUAAUAACGGAGGCUUACAAAGGUUGGUUCAAAACGGUUGGAAAUCGUUUGUAGAGUAUAAAGGCAAAAACCAGCUUAACUGCGACACCGACAAGUGGAGCAGAGACGAAAGUCGGUCUUAGUGAUCCGGUGGUUCUGUGUGGAAGGGCCAUCGCUCAAAGGAUAAAAGGUACCCCGGGGAUAACAGGCUGAUCUCCCCCAAGAGCUCACAUCGACGGGGAGGUUUGGCACCUCGAUGUCGGCUCAUCGCAUCCUGGGGCUGGAGCAGGUCCCAAGGGUAUGGCUGUUCGCCAUUUAAAGCGGUACGCGAGCUGGGUUC